rnacentral:misc_RNA from 1 species
GAAAUGCGAUAAGUAAUGUGAAUUGCAGAAUUCAGUGAAUCAUCGAAUCUUUGAACGCACAUUGCGCCCCUUGGUAUCCCAAAGGGCAUGCCUGUCCGAGCGUCAUGAAACCCGAUCAAGCCAUGCUUGGUUCUGGAUCCCCCUCUUGCAUCUCAAGGUGGGUCCCAAAAUCAGUGACGGCCCUGCCCUGGACUCCAGUGUUGAGAUUCCACCACGCUGUAGAGUGACGGGAAAAGGUAGCGGUUCAUCAACCCCUCUUAUUUUCAUUGGAUGGCCUCGAAUCAGGUAGGAAUACCCGCUGAACUUAA